AUUAAUUUUAGCAUGUUGGGUGUUUUAUCUCUUGCUUGUUACGUUGACAGGAAUGUGCAACUUCCAAGAAUCUCUUUGAUAUGGCAUGGGGUUUUAGAGGAAAUUAUCUUUGCUUUGGUACUUUUGUUGGAUGACUUUUGAAACGAUAAAAAACAAUGAGGUCUUCUGCACUGGUGCAAGUUGUAGGUAUACCAAACAUCACAUAUUGUUCGGCAAACAAAGAAAGCAACACCAUGAUGAGAGAGAUAACUUAUAUCUUGGGAAACUGUAACUUGGACGGGGACACAUAUAUUGGUGUUGGAAAUGAACAUGAGGUGUCAAACUGAGGGACCUUGUAGAACAUUACACACAUGUAUGUCCAUACUUUGGUUUGUAAAUCCACAAGGUGUAGAAAAAUGCAUCCAUGGAAGUAGUAGCCGAAAAGCGUGCAUGUAUUUUUGUGAUGCGAGUAUAGAUGAUAAGUUGUUAUUCUCAUAAUCUCUCUAAAAAGAGGGGUUUUGUUUUCCCCUAUUGUAUGUUGAUGAGUACCCAACAUAAGAUGUCUUAACAAACAUUUUAUAGAAUGCAUAUUUGGUGAGGUCAUGACCGUGGGGCCCACCUUGAUGUAUGUGUUGUAUAUCCAUGCCGUCCAUCCGUUUUGCCAAAUCAUUUUAGGGCACGAGCCAAAAAAUGAAGCAGAUCCAAAUCUCAAGUUAACCACACCAUAGGAAAUAGUGUGAUUGAACACUCACCAUUAAGGGUUUAGGGUUUAGGGUUCAACUUCCUAGGGCCCACCAUAAUGCUUAUGUGCCAUCUAGCCUGUUGAUAAGGUCAUGCAGACCUGGAUGAAGGGAAAGCACAAAUAUCGGCUUGAUCCAAAUCUUUUUUAAUGGUGAGCAUUCAAUCACCAUGGUUUCUUGUGGUGUGGUCCACUUGAGAUUUACAUCAGCUUCAUUUUUAGGCCCAUGCUAUAAAAUGAGUUGGCAAAACAGAUGGAAGGCGUGGAUAUACAUACAACACAUACAUUAAGGUGGGCCCUACGGUCACGACCUCAUUGAAGUCCGCAGUUUCUCGGCCUCACCGAAUCAUGCUCUAUUUCAUACCAUGGAGUCCCUUGUUACACAAGUGGAGAUGCAAUAUCUUGGUAUGUUUUAGAAGCCCUCAAACCGCAUGCCUAUCAAACAUUGAUGUUGCACAAAAUAAGAAAGCUUGGUUGUAGGAUUAACAAAUUCAUGUGGGUCCAAAAUUCUAUUGUAGAACUAGAAAACUUUGCCUUCAAGCCUAAGGAGGGUUGAUAUCAAGCGAGCAGCUGGUUGCCAAAAUUUUGCCUAUUAGUAAUUAGAAUUUCUGUUUAUAAUAUUUGUGGGGCCAACCUCGAAUAGUAGGGCCAAGGCUAUGAUGAUGAUCCAAAUAACAUUAUCUUUUUGAAAUCUAAAAUAUUUAUUGUGGAAUAAUAUCAAGGUAUUAAAAAAUAGUUAUGUAAUGGCUAUUACAUAAUAUUAACAGUUGGAGUUGUGCGCUAGAAAACCAACGUGAGCCCUAAUCCACUGGUCAUGUGGAUGUGACAAGGGUGAUCUCAGUCAUAGAUCAUGAUGGCCAUGUGUCCUUGUUGGACAAAAUGAUGUUCCUUAGUUAAUAUGUGGUGUCUCCUUAAACAUACAUGAAUUUGGGUUAUGUAGAGCAGUGAGUCCUCUGAUAGUCCUCGAGAACUCGAGAUUUGACAUGAUGGAUGUUGAUUAGAGAGAGUUGUGGUCCAUGGAUCUCAGUACUCUGUUAUACCAUGACCACACAUGUACUUGGGAUAUACCUGCGAACGUCAUAUGAUGAGAUGUGGGAUUGACUUGGGUUAGGAUGGACAAUCUCCACCAUCGGGGCCGAUUUGAUGUCGGUGUGCCUUUGCCCUCGCAUAGGAGUGAGUGUACCAUGGAUACAUAAUCCAGUAGGACCUUUGGGCUCUUACAUUUGUGGAUCGAGUUCAGGUUGUUGGUCUGGGGCUCCAGUAGCUUGGACUGUGGCUAGACUUGACAUUGUAUAGAAAGAUGAUUAAUCCUUAAGACUCGAGAAUGGGUAAGGGUCAUGAUCUUGAGUGGACAACUUUUGGCUUUCCCUAUGAGGCUAUCGCUUGCCAUUAAAAGUAGGUAUAGGCAUAGCUACGUACGUCUGUUAGGGUUCGUUGAUUCUUGCACGUGCCAAUAAAGAAUCAACUGGGUUUGCCUAGAAACUUGUUUAUGGCUAAAUCUAUUAGAUUAGGGACUUAUCAAGUGGUUUUACUGUUGGGCCCAACACUUGAAAAGGUUUUAAAUGGCUUUACUUUUUAACCAUUGAGGUUUUGUUUUAAUUGUUAAAUUGUUUUGAUCGCACUUAAUGAUGAUAUGAUGGCCUAUAUCUGAUGGUCUUCUAUGGAUAUAGAUAUUUGGUGGAGGGCCAUGAGACAAUGAAGGGAUUUGAUCAUGAGUACAUGCAUAGAUAAGAAGGGAGAGAGCUUAGAGACAGAGAGAGAGCCCUGGACGUCCCCUCCUUUGGGGCGUUGAUAAGAGAGAAGAAAAGAGAGGAAUGGUAGAGAGAAGCAUCCUUCUCCCUUCCUCAUGACAUCUCUCAUCCACACUUGCAUGUGGUAGUCGAUCCAGUGGACAACAUGCGUCAACCUCGCCUCCUAUCAGAGGAAUUGACGAUGGUUUUUGCUCUCCUUCACCUGAGAUGGAUCGAGGAGAGUCCUCUUAGGUUAGAGGAUUGACAUCAACAUAAUCAGGAAAAAUUCAUCGCGAUCAAGGUAUGAUCUAAGCCAUUUAUUAAUGGUUUAUGUUUGUAGAAAUCUAUGUUAUCAAAGAUGGGAGAUCCUAGGGUUAAUUAGAACAUGGAUUUUUUUUUUUUAAAGUUUAAAUUCCAUUGCAUUUCCAUAAAAAUCCAACAGUAAUUGUGGGAACCGUUAUGCGUUACAGGGUUGUAAUGCCCGUUUUGGAAAAAAAUGGUUUGAAGGGUCUAUUACGGGUUUAUUCCUUGUGUACGCCCGCGCGUGCGGAUUAUAGGACCGUGAGGGUCGUUAUUGCCUAUAUCAAAUGGCCAUUACAGUGCACGUUACGGGCACUGUUACUGUCAUUGAGUACCUCGGAUAAAAUUGAUGAAUUCAUGAUGAAAUUUAUGGAUAAGUUUCAUGGCGGCUGCCAGCCUAACGCAACCCUCCUUUCUCUUGGAUUAAGACAUGGUAAUGAGAGCACAAAAUUCCCACAGGCUCUAUGUAAUAGUCUAUUGCUUUUCCCAGUUAGUUGGGAUAAGGGGAUGUUGAUGACAACAAUGACGGCGAUGAAAUUAUGAUCGCCUAGACCAAAAGAAAAGAAAAGAAAAACUAUAGAAUAAAAAUCCAGUUAUAGCAAACCAUUUGAUUGGAUCCAAUCACAGACAAUGUCUUGUGUCAUACAUACAAGAUGAGGACAAUCUAUGGAUAUCACUUGUUAAGUAUAAUUCAUAAAAAACUGUUGCCGAUUCCUAAUAAAUGUGUCUUCUUACAUCCACUACAUGGCAAAACAUUUAUCAAACUCGAGACCUUAAAAAGGGUAUUUUUUUGGAUCAUUGGAAGUGGAAGCACUGUCAUUCCACUAAUAAUUUUCAAA